GAUGAACGCUGGCGGCGUGCCUAAUACAUGCAAGUCGAGCGAAUGGAUUAAGAGCUUGCUCUUAUGAAGUUAGCGGCGGACGGGUGAGUAACACGUGGGUAACCUGCCCAUAAGACUGGGAUAACUCCGGGAAACCGGGGCUAAUACCGGAUAACAUUUUGAACCGCAUGGUUCGAAAUUGAAAGGCGGCUUCGGCUGUCACUUAUGGAUGGACCCGCGUCGCAUUAGCUAGUUGGUGAGGUAACGGCUCACCAAGGCAACGAUGCGUAGCCGACCUGAGUGGGUGAGCGGCCAAACUGGGACUGGGACACGGCCCAGACUCCUACGGGAGGCAGCAGUAGGGAAUCUUCCGCAAUGGACGAAAGGCUGACGGAGCAACGCCGCGUGAGUGAUGAAGGCUUUCGGGCCGUAAAACUCUGUUGUUAGGGAAGAACAAGUGCUAGUUGAAUAAGCUGGCACCUUGACGGUACCUAACCAGAAAGCCACGGCUAACUACGUGCCAGCAGCCGCAGUAA
rnacentral:rRNA from 1 species